CAUGUGCGGCAUCUUUCUGAACUCCCCCAGCUAUCCGAGCUUCCACAAUACCAUCCAGACUCCUCCAGCAGUCGAUCUUCCACAGUGUCCUCCAGAUUCCUCCAAUGGAUGAACUCCUAUCGUGCCAUCUAGACUUCUCCAAUAAUGAGCUCCUCCAUUCAUCUACCAGACUGCUCCAAAUGCACUCUAGGCUUCACUAUCAGCCAAUUUUCUACAGUGAUCAACUACUCUUCGAAUCUCUUCUAAACUUCCUCCCAUCACUAUCGACUAUGCUUCGAGCUUCUUUCGGACUUCGUCAAUGUCAGAGCUUCUCCAGCAGCAGGACUUUUAUAGUAGUCAGACUCCGUCCAAGU
rnacentral:lncRNA from 1 species